rnacentral:tRNA from 1 species
AUUUAAAUAGUUUAAUAAAAAAAAAUUUUAGUUUGUGAUUCUGAAGAUGCAUGAUUUAUGUUUUAAAUA